UACAGAGGGGGCAAGCGUUGUUCGGAAUUACUGGGCGUAAAGGGCGCGUAGGCGGACAUCUAAGUCAGGGGUGAAAUCCCAGGGCUCAACCCUGGAAUUGCCUUUGAUACUGGACGUCUCGAGUUCGGAGAGGUGAGUGGAAUUCCGAGUGUAGAGGUGAAAUUCGUAGAUAUUCGGAGGAACACCAGAAGCGAAGGCGGCUCACUGGCCCGAUACUGACGCUGAGGCGCGAAAGCGUGGGGAGCAAACAGG
rnacentral:rRNA from 1 species